UAGGAAGCAAUUAAGAUUUACUAUUAAAAAUACUCUUAUUAGGCUAAGGAAUUUCUAUUAUUGUUGUUAUAUGCAAAGGCACUUUCGAGAGAAUAUAAAUAUAUUAUUGAAGGCACUUUUGCAUGGUGAUUUUUCUGGGUAGACAGUUAACUGGGAUAAGUCUUCCUCAUAUGUAGGAUCUUCUUUUUCAGUCGCUAGAUAGAGGGGGUUAUUAUAGCUCUUGGAGUGAUGUUAGGUUUUUUUUCCUUUUGUUUAUUUAGGGGUUCAUUUAUUUAUGACCUUUCGCAGUUUUAUCUAGGGCUGAUUACUAGUAAACUUUGCAGCCAAUUCGAUGUUUGGAAGGGUCAUUUAUUAUCAUUUAUUGGUCGUUUUGCUCUGUCAAUUGUGUGAUUACUUUCAAACUUGUUUAUUCUUUUUUUAUCUAUAAAAUGGCUCUCGGAUUGUUUAGGGUUUUUUUAAUUGGGAUAUCAAGAAUUUUGCUUAGAUUGGUUUCAUUUCAUCCAAAAGGGGUCACAGAUUCUCGGGCAGUUUGUUUUCUUCCAACUAAAUGUGGUGGGUUAGACUACAAAAUUUGCCUAGCUUUAACAAAGCUAAUUGUGCAAAUUAACUUGGAAGGUUAUGAUUGGUUCUCCUUUUGCUUAUGAGUUUCUAUGUGCUUGCUACAAAAGGAAGUUUAGUAGAUUAUUCUACGUGUCUUCCUCUAUUUGGCAUGCUAUUAAGGAGCAUCAAUAUGAAACUUAUCAGGGUUAUGGUUGGAUAACUGGGAAAGAUUCUAAUGUUAAGUUUUUUUGGAACAAUUGGAUGGGUAAAUCGGUUUUAAGCCUUUUAAACCUUCAAUCUCGAGUUGGGGAUUCAAACAUUAAGGUAGUUCUCUAGUUAUUCUUUGGGCCAAGCAUCUUUGGGUUCCUCUAUCAUAAGCAAUUUUGGUUGGUAAGUUUUCUAGAAUUGGCUUCUUAUGGAUAAUAUUCUUUCUAAAUAGGGUCUCAUGAUCGUUUCCAGGUGUCCUUUAUGCAAGUGUAGAGUAUAAUGAUGAGUUUGCUUUGCAGUUUGUAUCUUGCCUUUAUGCAGUUGCUAUAUGGGAGUAUGUAGCUUCCCUUUUUCUCUUUGAGUGAAUGUUUCCUCUACCAUUUGGUUCUAUUUUUAUCUGCCUUAAAUAUAUUUAAAUUUAAGCUGUUAGGUUGCUUGUCUUUGGAGGGCAUCCAUUAUUGCAGUUGUUGCCUCUAUCUUAUUUACUAGGAAACUAGCCUUGCAUGCAGAUUCUUUUAUUCUUGUUUCUCCAUCUCUGGUUUUAUCAAUUACUCUAAAAGAGAAGUGGAUGGCUUACAUUUGAGCUACGUGCAUAAUUCUAUUUUAGAUUUGUUGUUGUUAAGGAUACCAUAUGUGAUUGUAUGACUAGUCAAAACUUUGAGAAUCAUUCCUAUCCAUUGGACUUUGCCUUUUCCAGAUGGAUUAAGCUAAAUACUGAUGGUGCUUCUUUCGGUAAUACUGGUCCUUCAGAUGGUAGAGAUGUUUUUUAUAACUUUCUUUGGAUAUUUUCAAGGUUGUUACAUUGUGUCAUUUGUAUAAUUUAUGGCUACUGAGGUAGAGUUACUCUCUAUUAUGCAUGCUUCAGAGAUUGCCCAAAAAUGUUUGGAAUAAUUUUAGGCUUGAGUGUGAUUCCAAUUACAUUGUCAACCUUAUGAUAUCCGGUUCAUUAAAGGUUCCCUAGAGAUUUAAGGCUCGGCUGGCUUGUCUUCAUUUUAUUAUAAAUAUGAGUUUCAAGGUUUCACAUAUAUAUCAUAAAGACAAUAAUGUUGUUUAUUGACUUUCUAAAGCUGCGACUGAAGCCCAUUUUGCUUCAUGGUUGACUUUGCUCCCUUUAAUAUUAUAGCUACCUGUGCUUCUAAUUUACAU